rnacentral:rRNA from 1 species
GAUUAAGUUAUUAAGGGCGCACGGUGGAUGCCUUGGCACUAGAAGCCGAUGAAGGACGUUACUAACGACGAUAUGCUUUGGGGAGCUGUAAGUAAGCUUUGAUCCAGAGAUUUCCGAAUGGGGAAACCCAGCAUGAGUUAUGUCAUGUUAUCGAUAUGUGAAUACAUAGCAUAUCAGAAGGCACACCCGGAGAACUGAAACAUCUUAGUACCCGGAGGAAGAGAAAGAAAAUUCGAUUCCCUUAGUAGCGGCGAGCGAAACGGGAAGAGCCCAAACCAACAAGCUUGCUUGUUGGGGUUGUAGGACACUCUAUACGGAGUUACAAAGGACGACAUUAGACGAAUCAUCUGGAAAGAUGAAUCAAAGAAGGUAAUAAUCCUGUAGUCGAAAAUGUUGUCUCUCUUGAGUGGAUCCUGAGUACGACGGAGCACGUGAAAUUCCGUCGGAAUCUGGGAGGACCAUCUCCUAAGGCUAAAUACUCUCUAGUGACCGAUAGUGAACCAGUACCGUGAGGGAAAGGUGAAAAGCACCCCGGAAGGGGAGUGAAAUAGAACCUGAAACCGUGUGCUUACAAGUAGUCAGAGCCCGUUAAUGGGUGAUGGCGUGCCUUUUGUAGAAUGAACCGGCGAGUUACGAUUUGAUGCAAGGUUAAGCAGUAAAUGUGGAGCCGUAGCGAAAGCGAGUCUGAAUAGGGCGUUUAGUAUUUGGUCGUAGACCCGAAACCAGGUGAUCUACCCUUGGUCAGGUUGAAGUUCAGGUAACACUGAAUGGAGGACCGAACCGACUUACGUUGAAAAGUGAGCGGAUGAACUGAGGGUAGCGGAGAAAUUCCAAUCGAACCUGGAGAUAGCUGGUUCUCUCCGAAAUAGCUUUAGGGCUAGCCUCAAGUGAUGAUUAUUGGAGGUAGAGCACUGUUUGGACGAGGGGCCCCUCUCGGGUUACCGAAUUCAGACAAACUCCGAAUGCCAAUUAAUUUAACUUGGGAGUCAGAACAUGGGUGAUAAGGUCCGUGUUCGAAAGGGAAACAGCCCAGACCACCAGCUAAGGUCCCAAAAUAUAUGUUAAGUGGAAAAGGAUGUGGCGUUGCCCAGACAACUAGGAUGUUGGCUUAGAAGCAGCCAUCAUUUAAAGAGUGCGUAAUAGCUCACUAGUCGAGUGACACUGCGCCGAAAAUGUACCGGGGCUAAACAUAUUACCGAAGCUGUGGAUUGUCCUUUGGACAAUGGUAGGAGAGCGUUCUAAGGGCGUUGAAGCAUGAUCGUAAGGACAUGUGGAGCGCUUAGAAGUGAGAAUGCCGGUGUGAGUAGCGAAAGACGGGUGAGAAUCCCGUCCACCGAUUGACUAAGGUUUCCAGAGGAAGGCUCGUCCGCUCUGGGUUAGUCGGGUCCUAAGCUGAGGCCGACAGGCGUAGGCGAUGGAUAACAGGUUGAUAUUCCUGUACCACCUAUAAUCGUUUUAAUCGAUGGGGGGACGCAGUAGGAUAGGCGAAGCGUGCGAUUGGAUUGCACGUCUAAGCAGUAAGGCUGAGUAUUAGGCAAAUCCGGUACUCGUUAAGGCUGAGCUGUGAUGGGGAGAAGACAUUGUGUCUUCGAGUCGUUGAUUU